rnacentral:rRNA from 1 species
UACGUAGGGGGCAAGCGUUGUCCGGAAUCAUUGGGCGUAAAGAGCGUGUAGGCGGCCCGAUAAGUCCGCUGUGAAAGUCCAGGGCUCAACCCUGGAAUGCCGGUGGAUACUGUCGGGCUCGAAUCCGGAAGAGGUGAGUGGAAUUCCUGGUGUAGCGGUGAAAUGCGCAGAUAUCAGGAGGAACACCAGUGGCGAAGGCGGUGCUCUGGGCCGGAACUGACGCUGAGGAGCGAAAGCUAGGGGAGCGAACGGG